UACGAGGGGGGCGAGCGUUGUUCGGAAUUAUUGGGCGUAAAGGGUGCGUAGGCGGUUUGUUGCGUCGGCUGUGAAAUCCCGAGGCUCAACCUCGGGUCUGCAGUCGAUACGAGCAAACUAGAGUGUUGCAGGGGAGACUGGAAUUCCUGGUGAUAGCGGUGAAAUGCGCAGAGUAUCAGGAGGAACACCCGGUGGGCGAAAGGCGGGGUCUC
rnacentral:rRNA from 1 species